AGAGUUUGAUCCUGGCUCAGGACGAACGCUGGCGGCGUGCCUAACACAUGCAAGUCGAACGAAGCUUGAAUUCAGAUUUCUUCGGAAUGAAGAAUGAUAUGACUGAGUGGCGGACGGGUGAGUAACGCGUGAGCAACCUGCCCUUCGGAGGGGGAUAGUGUCUGGAAACGGACAGUAAUACCGCAUAACGUAUUUUUACCGCAUGAUAGAAAUACCAAAACUGAGGUGCCGAAGGAUGGGCUCGCGUUGGAUUAGAUAGUUGGUGGGGUAACGGCCUACCAAGUCAACGAUCCAUAGCCGGACUGAGAGGUUGAACGGCCACAUUGGGACUGAGACACGGCCCAGACUCCUACGGGAGGCAGCAGUGGGGAAUAUUGCACAAUGGGGGAAACCCUGAUGCAGCAACGCCGCGUGAAGGAAGACGGUUUUCGGAUUGUAAACUUCUGUUCUUAGUGAAGAAAAAUGACGGUAGCUAAGGAGCAAGCCACGGCUAACUACGUGCCAGCAGCCGCGGU
rnacentral:rRNA from 1 species